UACGUAGGGGGCUAGCGUUGUCCGGAAUCAUUGGGCGUAAAGCGCGUGUAGGCGGUCCGGUAAGUCCGCUGUGAAAGCCAGGGGCUCAACCCUUGGAUGCCGGUGGAUACUGUCGGGCUUGAGUACGGAAGAGGCGAGUGGAAUUCCUGGUGUAGCGGUGAAAUGCGCAGAUAUCAGGAGGAACACCGGUGGCGAAAGCGGCUCCCUGGCCCGAUACUGACGCUCAUGUACGAAAGCGUGGGGAGCAAACAGG
rnacentral:rRNA from 1 species